rnacentral:sRNA from 1 species
AAAUUUUCAAAUCUCUCUUGGAAGUAAUAUUAAAAUGUUAGUUACCUAAAAAGUACAUAUUUAAUGCAAACUUUUCUGAGUGCACUCGACUGUAAAUGUAAUGGCAAACAAUGUUCUAAUUAUUUUUGAGGCGCACAAAGGACGACAUUCUUGCUUACUGUUGAAAUAUUGAACAUUCUGGGUCUUUGUCUGGAUGUAUAAGCCCCCAAUUCAAUUAACGGUCUGCAGAUGACAGACCUCAAUCACUCGGAUCCAUCGCAAUCAUUGCAGAUGAACGGCGACGUUUGAAAGAGGCAUAAAGUUUUAAUGCAUAUAAAUUGUGGAUGCCUAAAAGAGGGGCAGACGGUGAAAAAUUAAUGUGGGCAUAUCACGGAGACGAUUGCCUGUAUUGCCAGUCGACCAAGAAAAAGUCAGAUUCGGUUUCAGUUUCGCUUACAGCUCCGGAUUAUUGUUCCUGAUGUGGGUAUGGUAUAUGGUAUGCAUGGUCCAUUGGAUGUGGAUGCUCCGGCUCAAUGACGUCAGCAACGGACUUGAACCGAAAUCCCGCCUCACUGGCGAACUUUGACCUAUGCUAAACUCGAGCCCAAAGCACUCAAAUACAUUUUUUAGAUCGCCCGAGGGCGGUUCUGGCA